UUAAAACUGUUGGGGUGCCCGCCAAAAUUUUGCUUUAAGGCAACACGAUUUGUCCCUGCUCGCUGCGAUACGUGACAGAAAGCGACAAAUCCUGCAUCCAAUCUAAAAAACUUAGGCGGGCUGAAAAAUACCCUUCGAACCCGAUCCGGACAAUACCGGCGUAGGGGAAACAGGAUACUCUAGAUU
rnacentral:ncRNA from 1 species